rnacentral:tRNA from 5 species
GGCCCCGUAGUUCAACUGGAUAGAAUAUCAGAUUUCGGCUCUGAGGGUUGGGGGUUCGAAUCCUCCCGGGGUCACUA